rnacentral:rRNA from 1 species
GAUGAACGCUGGCGGCGUGCCUAAUACAUGCAAGUCGAGCGAACAGACGAGGAGCUUGCUCCUCUGACGUUAGCGGCGGACGGGUGAGUAACACGUGGAUAACCUACCUAUAAGACUGGGAUAACUUCGGGAAACCGGAGCUAAUACCGGAUAAUAUAUUGAACCGCAUGGUUCAAUAGUGAAAGACGGUUUUGCUGUCACUUAUAGAUGGAUCCGCGCCGCAUUAGCUAGUUGGUAAGGUAACGGCUUACCACGGCAACGAUGCGUAGCCGACCUGAGAGGGUGAUCGGCCACACUGGAACUGAGACACGGUCCAGACUCCUACGGGAGGCAGCAGUAGGGAAUCUUCCGCAAUGGGCGAAAGCCUGACGGAGCAACGCCGCGUGAGUGAUGAAGGUCUUCGGAUCGUAAAACUCUGUUAUUAGGGAAGAACAAAUGUGUAAGUAACGAUGCACGUCUUGACGGUACCUAAACAGAAAGCCACGGCUAACUACGU